rnacentral:lncRNA from 1 species
AAUUCUUAUCACUUAGGUUUGGCUAUGUAAUAUAGAAAUCUUCAAGCUUCGUGGGGUCCAUGUCAAUGGCAAUUUUAGGAUCAAUUCUUACAGGGCACAUGCCCCUCAGCUGCAUUGCAAAAUUGAAAUUUUAAGUGGGAUCGAUUCUGUUCCUGGGGCUGAAGUUGUAGAUUCUUGGUUGGGAGGUGCCGCCCAAAGAAAGAGUUAAAGUCUUGGUUGGGAGGUGCCACUCAAAGAAAGAAACAAAAGAGAAAGAAGAAAAAGAAGAAUUUAGUACCGCCCAAAGGAAAUUUUUUUUUUAAUUUAAUAGCCAUUUUUUGGCUAUAAAAGGGAGAGCUCCCCAUUUCAUUUAGCAUCCAAUUUUGCAGAGAGAGUUGAGAGUUGUGAGAAGUAAUUCUUGUAGAGCAAAGAAUUUUGUGUGCUCAGUGAUUUGAGAGUUUGGGUGUAUUGGGGUUUUGGGUAGUGAGCUAAAAUACUACAAUAUUUGUAACUCCUUUUCACUAGUAUAAUAUUUUCCUUCUGUCUUCGCCCAUGGACGUAGGCUAAAAGCCGAACCACGUAAUUUCUGGUAUUCUCUUUUGUUCUUGUUUUUUAUUUUCUUCCAAUUUUACUUUAGCUGCAUGUCUGCCUCACCCACCAGCAGCUACGUUCUGACUUUCAGACCUUCCAGCAGCAGAGCAUUGAUCAGCAGCUUGAGCUUAUUGCUGGACAGCGCACUCUUCUCCGCUAUUUCGGCUAUGAUCCGGGGAGCACAUCUUCUCCACCUCCAUAGUUUCUGAGUUCUAUUUUCGCACAUACAUUUCAUAUUUUGGUUGUUUGCGUGUUUCCAUUUAUAUUUUUAUACACACUGUUACCUCUAUAUGCUCUUUCUGGAUUUUGAUGACAUAUUUUUGUGAUGUUCUUGAUGUUGGAUGACUUGGUAAUUGGUUGAUGAAAUUGUUGGUUUCUUGGAUAUUGAAGUGUUGGUUUGUUUGUUCAUGGCGUUGUUGGUUUGUUGAAAGAUGGAAUUGUUGUUAAUAUAUUUUGGAAGUGUUUUAAUCUCAUUUUGUAUUAG